rnacentral:rRNA from 1 species
UGGGGAAUUUUGCACAAUGGGGGAAACCCUGAUGCAGCGACGCCGCGUGAUUUAGAAGGCCUUCGGGUUGUAAAAAUCUUUUCUAUGGGAAGAAAAUGACAGUACCAUAGGAAUAAGGACCGGCUAAUUACGUGCCAGCAGCCGCGGUAAUACGUAAGGUCCGAGCGUUGUCCGGAAUCAUUGGGCGUAAAGGGUACGUAGGCGGGUAAGCAAGUUAGAAGUGAAAUCCUAUAGCUCAACUAUAGUAAGCUUUUAAAAAUGCUCAUAUUGAGGGAUGGAAGGGAAAGUGGAAUUCCUAGGGGAGCGGUGAAAGGCGCAGAUAUUAGGAGGAAUACCGGUGGCGAAGGCGACUUUCUGGCCAUAACCUGACGCUGAGGUACGAAAGCGUGGGUAGCAAACAGG